rnacentral:rRNA from 1 species
CCAAUAGCGUAUAUUAAAGUUGUUGCAGUUAAAAAGCUCGUAGUUGAACCUUGGGCCUGGCUGGCCGGUCCGCCUCACCGCGUGCACUGGUUCGGCCGGGCCUUUCCCUCUGGGGAAUCCCAUGCCCUUCACUGGGUGUGGCGAGGAACCAGGACUUUUACUGUGAAAAAAUUAGAGUGUUCAAAGCAGGCCUAUGCUCGAAUACAUUAGCAUGGAAUAAUAGAAUAGGACGUGUGGUUCUAUUUUGUUGGUUUCUAGGACCGCCGUAAUGAUUAAUAGGGACAGUCGGGGGCAUCAGUAUUCAAUUGUCAGAGGUGAAAUUCUUGGAUUUAUUGAAGACUAACUACUGCGAAAGCAUUUGCCAAGGAUGUUUUCAUUAAUCAGGAACGAAAGUUAGGGGAUCGAAGACGAUCAGAUACCGUCGUAGUCUUAACCAUAAACUAUGCCGACUAGGGAUCGGACGAUGUUAUUUUUUGACUCGUUCGGCACCUUACG